AUUGAACGCUGGCGGCAGGCCUAACACAUGCAAGUCGAGCGGAUGAAGGGAGCUUGCUCCUGGAUUCAGCGGCGGACGGGUGAGUAAUGCCUAGGAAUCUGCCUGGUAGUGGGGGAUAACGUCCGGAAACGGGCGCUAAUACCGCAUACGUCCUGAGGGAGAAAGUGGGGGAUCUUCGGACCUCACGCUAUCAGAUGAGCCUAGGUCGGAUUAGCUAGUUGGUGAGGUAAAGGCCUACCAAGGCGACGAUCCGUAACUGCUCUGAGAGGAUGAUCAGUCACACUGGAACUGAGACACGGUCCAGACUCCUACGGGAGGCAGCAGUAGGGAAUAUUGGACAAUGGGCGAAAGCCUGAUGCAGCCAUGCCGCGUGUGUGAAGAAGGUCUUCGGAUUGUAAAGCACUGUUAGUUGGGAGGAAGGGCAGUAUGUUAAUCCCUUGCUGUCUUGACGUUACCAACAGAAUAAGCACCGGCUAACUACGUG
rnacentral:rRNA from 1 species